rnacentral:ribozyme from 1 species
UCAUCUUUCCCUUUGGCAAUAGCAGAAGCACUCAUGUCAUGGCCCCUAUCAGAUUCUUUUGAAUCUGCGAAUUCUGCU